GACGAACGCUGGCGGCGUGCCUAAUACAUGCAAGUCGAACGCAGUGGGGACGGGUGAGUAACACGUGGGUAACCUCCCAUCAGAGGGGAUAACACUUGGAAACAGGUGCUAAACCGAUACUGUUGGAUGGACCCGCUGGGCAUUAGCGAGUUGGUGCGGUAACGGCUCACCAAGGCCACGAUGCAUAGGCGAGCUGAGAGGGUGAUCGGCCACACUGGGACUGAGACACGGCCCAGACUCCUACGGGAGGCAGCAGUAGGAAAUAUUCGGCAAUGGAAGAAAGUCUGAUCGAGCAAAGCCGCGUGAGUGAAGAAGGUUUUCGGAUCGUAAAACACUGUUGUUAGGGAAGCGGUAUCUAGCCAGAAAGCCACGGCUAACUACGUGCCAGCAGCCGCGGUAAUAC
rnacentral:rRNA from 1 species